rnacentral:tRNA from 1 species
GGUUCUAUGGUGUAACGGUUAGCACUCCACACUCUGAAUCUGGCGAUCUGGGUUCAAAUCUCGGUAGAACCU